rnacentral:piRNA from 1 species
AGUGGGGCUACGACCAGAACACAG